AAGGGUACUCUGGGGAUAACAGGCUGAUACCGCCCAAGAGUUCAUAUCGACGGCGGUGUUUGGCACCUCGAUGUCGGCUCAUCUCAUCCUGGGGCUGUAGCCGGUCCCAAGGGUAUGGCUGUUCGCCAUUUAAAGAGGUACGUGAGCUGGGUUCAGAACGUCGUGAGACAGUUCGGUCCCUAUCUGCCGUGCGCGUUGGAAGUUUGAGGAAGCCUGCUCCUAGUACGAGAGGACCGGAGUGGACGCACCUCUGGUGUACCUGUUGUCACGCCAGUGGCAUUGCAGGGUAGCUAAGUGCGGAAGAGAUAACCGCUGAAGGCAUCUAAGCGGGAAACUCGUUCCAAGAUUAGACUUCCCGGGGGCUUGACCCCCCUUAAGGGUCGUUCAAGACUAGGACGUUGAUAGGCCGGAUGUGUAAGUACAGUAAUGUACUAAGCUAACCGGUACUAAUUGCCCGUGAGGCUUGACCCUAUUACACUG
rnacentral:rRNA from 1 species